ACCAUGUGGCGGGUCCACCGCGGGACACGGUGACGGGUCCCCUGCGGACCGGGGGGAUGAGUCGGCGUGUUCACCGCGAGACCGUGCGGCGGGUCCACCGCGAGACCGUGCGGCGGGUCCACAGCCGGGCGACGUGGAUGGGUCCCGUCCGGACCGCCGGAUGACUCGGCAGGUCCACCGCGGGACAACGCGGCGGGUCUACCGUGGGAAACCGUGGGACCAUGCGGCGAGUCCCCCGCUUGACAACGGUGACGGGUCCCGUCCGGACGCCCGGACGAUGCGGCGGGUCCACCGCGGGACGUCCGUUUCUCACUCUCACCGGAGUCAAAGGAGAAGACCCAGGCAGAAGCAGAAACGCUACUGACGCCAAACGCAGUUCAGCAUGCCGGCUGCACCGCCGGCCGCUGGCGUCGCUGUUUUGCCAGAACUCAGUCUGCGCCGGAUACUGUACGUCUAGAGGCCGCGGUUUCUUUUCUGAAAUUUCGCCAUUUUCUGACCCCGCCUCCCUUCAUGACUACAAAUACCCAGGCCUGGAGGAGCCUGUAACAGGAUAUGCUGCCUGCCCCAGUGCAGGCACUGCUGUCCUCCCCGCCCAAGUGCUGCCCAAGCGAUGGAGACAAUGGAGCAGAGGUUCCCUUGCAGACCACCAAGGAGGAGAGUGCGGAUCCGACCACAGGGGCGAAAGCGCUUCCAUAGAACUGUUGGAAUCUGCUGCAAACUAAGGGGGCGUGCCCGGAUCCGACCAAGGGUUUGAGUCCAGAUCUGACGCAAAACUGCAACAGGUGAAUGGGCUCCUCAGGGACCUCUCGCUUGCUCGGUUGUGGAUCUCAAGGAUGCCUUUUUCUCUAUCCCUCUCAGCCUCAUGCUGCCGCCUAGACCGACCUUGACACCGCUCACCCAGACUGUCCUACCACAGGGGUUCCAGGAGAUCCCACAUCUAUUUGGCCAGACCCCAGCUUCUGACCUACUCUCCCUGUCUCUCCAAAUCUAAACUCAUACAGUAUGUAGAUAUUUUACUUUGCAGUCCAUCCUUAGAAAUUAGCCAAACUAAUACUUCUGCUCUUCUAAAUUUCUUGUCCAGCAGGGCCUAUAGAGUCUCACCGCCCAAGGCCAAAAUGUCCACUCCUCGGGUCACCUACUUAGGACUAACCAUUACCCUAAUUCACAAAGCUAUUACUUUAGACAGAAAGAACAUAAUCCACUCUCUUACAGUCCCUUCUACUAAGAGGAAAUUUUAUUGUUCCUAGGAAUAGGUGGUAGAGAGGGGACUUAGCUAUCAAAAUUGGGAAGAACUCAAUCUGGGAGAUUUUUUGCAUAGGGAUUUCAUUCCUGCUCUUGGUAGAGUCCUCCAUAGGCUCAAUUCAAAGAAAGCAAAAUGGAUUUAGGAAGCUUCCCUGACAGCAAUGACCAGUUAUGUCCGAUGCAAGACUUAGACUCUUUAAAAUAAAAUGAUUAUUAAACAUUUA